AAGGGUAUAGCUCAGUGAUAGAGCACAUGCUUAGCAUGCACAAGGUCCUGGGUUCAAUCCCCAGGACCUCCA
rnacentral:tRNA from 1 species